GAAUUAUAGGGCGUCUACUUUUGUAGGGCCUGACCUCCACUUUCUAACACUGUGCACUCAUUUGGCGGAAUAGAGAACGAAGCGCAAGCUGACGUCUCCGUUCUGCGGCUUACUUUUAAACACCAGUCAAAGUAUGUAACGAAAUAUCGAAACAAAAAAAACUUUCAACAACGGAUCUCUUGGCUCU
rnacentral:misc_RNA from 1 species